rnacentral:rRNA from 1 species
GAUGAACGCUGGCGGCGUGCUUAACACAUGCAAGUCGAACGGGAUCCAAGGGGUGCUUGCACUUUUUGGUGAGAGUGGCGAACGGGUGAGUAACACGUGAGUAACCUGUCCUUUUCUUUGGGAUAAGCAUUCGAAAGGGUGUUUAAUACCUUAUGUUCUGUCUGCCUCGCAUGGGGUGGGUGGGAAAGGCUUUGGCCGGAUUUGGGUGGGCUCGCGGUCUAUCAGCUUGUUGGUGGGGUGAUGGCUUACCAAGGCUUUGACGGGUAGCCGGCCUGAGAGGGUGGUCGGUCCCAUUGGGACUGCGAUCCGGCACAGAAUCCUGCAGGAGGCAGCAGUGCGGGAUAUUGCACAAUGUGCGAAAGCCUGAUGCAGCGACGCCGCGUGGGGGAUGAAGGCCUUCGGGUUGUAAACUUCUUUUGCUCUGAACAAGGCAUGCCAGUGGGUGUGUUGAGUGUAGGGGUUGAUUAGCGCCGGCUAACUACGUG